rnacentral:lncRNA from 1 species
UUUUUAGGUCCAAUAAGAUUAUUUGAGAUUUGCAACAAUUUGUUAAUUAGAUUGAAGUGAUUUUUAUUAAAGGUAAUAUUUGACUUGACUUCCAAUACUUAUACAAAUUUUGAGAGCAAGUUAAUGGUUCAAUUAGGAGUUAUUGCUACUAAAAGAUCAAUAUUAAGAUCAAUGAUGGAGGCCGGCCAACACCUAAGUGGAUUAUGAGAUUUUUCUGCCAUUUUAUAAAUUCAAUUCUCUUCAAAUUUUUUAAGCUUAUUAUUCAGUAAGAAAUUGAGAGGUAUAUAAAAUUUUAAACAAGAUCAAGAAUUUAAUUAAUAAAGAUUGAGGUUCUAAAAUUGUCCUAGGAUUGAUUUGAAUUUGUUAGAUUUUGAUUAGGAUUUGUUUAGAAAUUGAUUAGGAUUUGGCUUAGGAUUUGAUUAGGGUUCGGCUUUAGAUUUGAUUAGGAUUUGAUUUAGGAUUUAAGAUCUGAUUAGAAUUGAUUUAGGAUUUAGAAU